rnacentral:misc_RNA from 1 species
GAAAUGCGAUAAGUAAUGUGAAUUGCAGAAUUCAGUGAAUCAUCGAAUCUUUGAACGCACAUUGCGCCCGCCAGCACUCUGGCGGGCAUGCCUGUUCGAGCGUCAUUUCAACCCUCAGAACCCCUUGCGGGAUCUGGCGUUGGGGUUUGGCAUCCAGCCAGCCCCGAAAUCUAGUGGCGGUCCCUCCGCGACCUCCCCUGUGCAGUAGCGAUACCUCGCAGCGGGACAGCGGUCUGACCACGCCGUAAAACCCCCAACUUCUCAAGGUUGACCUCGAAUCAGGUAGGAAUACCCGCUGAACUUAAGC